rnacentral:sRNA from 1 species
UAUAUGGGGUGGCAAAAAAAAAAUUGUUGGGAUACUUUUUGGCUUGAUG